CAUCCCACAUAUGCCAAAGCAGCCAAACUUCAUCAACCCCAACAUCUCCAUCUCGAACUACCAAAAACAUCGAAACUAUUUCCUUGUCCGCCAUACAAAAAAAUUAAAGCCAUUGAUAUUUACUGUACCAAGAAGGCAAGAAGUAACGGCAACAAACAAGAAAAAAAAGUAAAAAAGCAGAGACCCCCCAAUGAUGGACUGCAAGUUAUGGUUCCCUCUGACCACUUUCUUGAUCAUAACAAUGCUGGUUGUUACUGAAGCUCGCAUACCCACUACUCUGGAAGGCCCAUUUAAGCCAGUGACUCAACGCUUAGAUCCUUCUUUGCGUAGAGGCAGUGAUGACUUGCCAAUGAAUGAUCCAAGGCUCAAGAAGAAUCUCACCUCGAACUUCCCAGAACAGAUAGCUCUUGCAAUUUCUUCUGCAACUUCAAUGUGGGUUUCCUGGAUAACUGGGGAUGCUAAGGUUGGUUCAAAUUUGACCGAGCUUGAUCCUUCGUCGGUCGCGAGCGAGGUGUGGCAUGGGAAAAAAAGUGGCAAGUAUACUAGGAUAGCGAAAGGGGUUUCCACCGUUUACAGUCAAUUGUACCCAUUUGAAGGCCUCUUGAAUUACACGUCUGGUAUCAUUCACCAUGUGAGGCUUAAAGGUCUUAAACCGAAAACAAAAUAUUACUUCAAAUGUGGGGAUAGCUCUAUUCCAGCUAUGAGUGAAGAGCAUGUCUUUGAAACUUUUCCAGUGCCUAGCCCAAAAAGUUAUCCGAGUCGGAUAGCAGUUAUUGGAGAUUUGGGUCUCACAAAAAAUUCUACCACAACAAUUGAUCAUUUGAUUCAGAAUGAUCCUUCAAUGAUUUUAAUGGUUGGAGACCUAACUUAUGCAAAUCAAUACCGUACAACUGGUGGAAAAGGAGCUGCAUGCUUCUCAUGUGCAUUUCCUGAUGCACCUAUCAGGGAGACGUAUCAACCCCGUUGGGAUGGGUGGGGAAGAUUCAUGGAGAAGUUAACCUCAAGAGUUCCUAUGAUGGUCAUUGAAGGCAACCAUGAGAUUGAGCCUCAAGUUGCUGGGAUCACAUUCAAAUCAUAUUUAACGCGAUUUGCAGUUCCCUCAGUGGAGAGUGGCUCUAAGAGCAAUUUCUACUACUCUUUUGAUGCUGGAGGAGUACAUUUUAUCAUGUUGGGAGCAUAUGUUGACUACAAUAGUACUGGUGCUCAAUAUGCCUGGCUAAAGGAAGAUCUACAACACAUAGACCGCACGGUAACCCCCUGGCUGGUAGCUGCAUGGCAUCCACCUUGGUAUAACAGCUAUUCUUCACAUUAUCAGGAAUUUGAAUGCAUGAGACAGGAAAUGGAAGCAAUUCUGUAUCAGUAUGGUGUCGAUAUUGUUUUUUCUGGUCACGUGCAUGCUUAUGAGCGCAUGAAUAGAGUUUAUAACUAUACAUUAGAUUCAUGUGGACCUGUCUACUUAACAGUUGGAGAUGGUGGAAAUAUUGAGAAAGUUGAUGUCGAUUUCGCAGAUGACCCUGGAAAGUGCCCUUCUGCUGCAGACAACAUACCAGAGUUUGGAGGUACAUGUCAUUUAAAAUUUUCAUCUGGUCCUGCUAAAGGCCAGUUUUGUUGGAACAAACAACCAGAGUGGAGUGCAUACAGAGAAAGCAGCUUUGGGCAUGGAAUACUUGAGGUUGUGAAUUCUACUUACGCAUUAUGGACUUGGCAUAGAAACCAAGACAUAUAUAAGGAAAAUAGCCAUGGCGAUCAAAUAUACAUUGUGCGGCAACCUGAAUUGUGCUCUACACUCAAAAAAGUGGUGGUCUUAUCUCUGUCUCACACUUGCAGCCCUCACUUCUGCUCUCUCCGGCUCCCCUCCCUGCUCUAUCAGUUUCUACUGCUUGUUGCCACCGCCACUCUCAAUUAAUCCUUCUCUUCUCACCACUCAUAGGGGUUCUAUCUCUCUUUGCCACUCCCAGGCAUUCUCUAUAUGUGUGCUUAAUGGGGUAUUAGGCAAUCUCUUUGCUUCAACCAUCGGCUCUGCGGCUGCCCCUCUCCUAUAUACUCUCUACUCGAGCUAUUAAUUUCCUUUUUAAUCUAUUUAGUAAUUGUUUGGUUAAUUGAUGCAAAACUAUCUCGAAAUUGUUUGGAUUUGAAUCAUUGGAUUUCCACUGCCUAUGUUGUAAAUAGAAUGCUUAUUUUUUCCAAUUUAAGUAUGAAAGCGUUUAUCCAC